GCCCCCGUAGUCCAACUGGCAGAGACGCGCCACUUAAAAUGGCGACCGGUGCGGGUUCGAGUCCCGCCGGGGGCA
rfam:Janibacter sp. Soil728 contig_3, whole genome shotgun sequence.